GCCCCACAAGGCCGCGCGUCGCGGACUACGAGCCCCACAAGGCCGCGCGUCCCGGACUACGAGCCCCACAAGGCCGCGCGGAGGGCACGCGGGACCCGUAGUUCUACCGCCGCCACCACGUGCCCGGAGGGCCCCGCCCCCUGCGUUUCACCACAAACUCAGUCGCACAAAAACCCUGGAAAAAAAUCAAUAAACAUUUAUUUGAUACA